UUAUUGUAAAUUGUAACGCUGUGUCAAAAACUCAAAACGUGAAUAUACGUCGUGUAUGAUAGAUAAUCUGCUGUAUGGUACGAUCACCGAUGUGAUUAAAAAAAUGUUUAUUCUUGGAGUGAAGUUUUCCGAGACCUUGACCCCUUGGUCGACAGUUGACGGCUAUUGGUCACACUGGUCCCCGGGCCCCGUGAUACUGUCAACGGUUGUUAACGUUGCGUAAAACGGUUGGUGUAAAGCGGUGUACACGAAAACGCCGACAAUCAACCGGAUAGCAUACGAUUGUGGAAUAAGCUGCACCGCCCACCGGUGCAGUUGCAAUGCCGUUGCGAGCUGCAGCAUUAAAAUGUUUACGUGAAUGUUUUUCACCACUACCCGGGCGGCGUGCACAGCCGCGGUGGCUGAUGGACCGAACGAGAACCAAGGUUUUCUCUUCCACGGCCGUCGUCAUUCUCGUGAUACGAUCCCCCCCACGCGUCCCUUCACUGAUGUUUGGGACAACAUCCCCCCUCCGGCCAUAGGUGGCCGCAGUGGCGGUAAGUCCGUCGUGUUCCGUUUCGCGUCGAUGGGUCGUCCGUGUCCCCUUGUUUCGUUCCCUAAGUUCCGUAGUUCCGUUAUCCACCUUCUAAUUUUUUUCGGGUUUCGCCGUCUGAAUUUCUAGUGCCGCUGUUUGAGUUUCCGUAAUUGUUUCGCCGCCGGGGAUGCGGAUACGCUGGUCGCUAGGAGUGCGCGCGACUGUUCCGUUGGCCGUUUGCGUCGUCCGGCCACCCGCGACCACCGGCUGAGUUCGCUGGCUGUCGGAGGGUCUAGUGGACACCGGUGAGUUGUGCCGUUGUACCCCUGACUUGUCUGCGCGCGACGAUUGAGAAGAGGUGAUGCCGUACAAAUUGCUUUGGCUUCGACGUUACUGUCCAACUUGGCAUCUAAAUUGCAGUAAGUCCAUGUUUGGUAACUUUUAAG